UAGUCUCGCACAGAUGCAUAUCAAUAAGCGGAGGAAAAGAAACUAACAAGGAUUCCCCUAGUAACGGCGAGUGAAGCGGGAAGAGCUCAAAUUUGAAAUCUUAAAGGGUUUCCCUUUACGAAUUGUAGUUUAAAGAAGUGUUUUCUGUUGAGGUUUUGGUAAAAGUUCUUUGGAAUAGGACAUCAUAGAGGGUGAGAAUCCCGUAUUUGACCUUUACUUUCCAGCUGUGUGAUACACUUUCAAAGAGUCGGAUUGUUUGGGAAUGCAGUCCAAAAUGGGUGGUAAAUUUCAUCUAAAGCUAAAUAUUGGCGAGAGACCGAUAGCGAACAAGUACCGUGAGGGAAAGAUGAAAAGAACUUUGAAAAGAGAGUUAAACAGUACGUGAAAUUGUCAAAAGGGAAGCGUUUGACACCAGUGUUGUUUUUCUGAAAAUCAAUUAAAGAACUGUUUAUGCUAAGCUGUUUAGACUUUAUCAGCUAACUGUUUAGUUUUGAGCUUUUCUUUAAUGCACUUUUCAGUUAACAAGUCAACAUCAAUUUCUUUUGCUGUAAAAAAGCUUGAGGAAGGUGGCUUGAGAUUCGUCUUAAGUGUUUAUGGCCUCUUGCCUAUGCAGUCGGAGAGAUUGGGGUCUGCAGCGUAGAUCCUUCGGGGCUAAAUGCAUUUGUGCUGAGUUAUAGCAUUUUAUAGACAACUUGUUGACUAUGAUUUGUCUUGUAGCUUACUCGCUUAUGUUAUUUUACCUACGCUUAGGAUGUUGAGUAGCGACAUACGCAC
rnacentral:rRNA from 1 species